rnacentral:rRNA from 1 species
GACGAACGCUGGCGGCGUGCUUAACACAUGCAAGUCGAACGGUGACGAAGAGCUUGCUCUUCUGAUCAGUGGCGAACGGGUGAGUAACACGUGAGCAACCUACCCUUGACACUGGGAUAACAGUUGGAAACAGCUGCUAAUACCGGAUAUGAACCUCACAGGCAUCUGAGAGGUUGGAAGGCUCCGACGGUCAAGGAUGGGCUCGCGGCCUAUCAGCUUGUUGGUGAGGUAACGGCUCACCAAGGCGACGACGGGUAGCCGGCCUGAGAGGGCGACCGGCCACACUGGGACUGAGAUACGGCCCAGACUCCUACGGGAGGCAGCAGUGGGGAAUAUUGCGCAAUGGGCGAAAGCCUGACGCAGCAACGCCGCGUGCGGGAUGACGGCCUUCGGGUUGUAAACCGCUUUCAGCAGGGACGAAACUGACGGUACCUGCAGAAGAAGCACCGGCUAACUACGUGCCAGCCGCCGCGGUAAAAC